GCUCAGGAUGAACGCUGGCGGUAUGCUUAACACAUGCAAGUCGAACGGAAUGCUUAGGCAUUUAGUGGCGGACGGGUGAGUAACGCGUGAGAAUUUGGCUUCAGGUCGGGGACAACAGUUGGAAACGACUGCUAAUACCGGAUAUGCCGGAAGGUGAAAGAUUUAUUGCCUGAAGAUAAGCUCGCGUCUGAUUAGCUAGUUGGUGGGGUAAGAGCCUACCAAGGCGACGAUCAGUAGCUGGUCUGAGAGGAUGAUCAGCCACACUGGGACUGAGACACGGCCCAGACUCCUACGGGAGGCAGCAGUGGGGAAUUUUCCGCAAUGGGCGAAAGCCUGACGGAGCAAUACCGCGUGAGGGAGGAAGGCUCUUGGGUCGUAAACCUCUUUUCUCAGGGAAGAAAAAAAUGACGGUACCUGAGGAAUAAGCAUCGGCUAACUCCGUGCCAGCAGCCGCGGUAAUACGGAGGAUGCAAGCGUUAUCCGGAAUGAUUGGGCGUAAAGGGUCUGUAGGUGGUGCUGUAAGUCUGCUGUUAAAGAGUCACGCUCAACGUGAUAAAAGCGGUGGAAACUACAGGACUAGAGUGCGGUCGGGGCAGAAGGAAUUCCUGGUGUAGCGGUGAAAUGCGUAGAUAUCAGGAAGAACACCGGUGGCGAAAGCGUUCUGCUAGUCCGCAACUGACACUGAGGGACGAAAGCUAGGGGAGCGAAUGGGAUUAGAUACCCCAGUAGUCCUAGCCGUAAACGAUGGAUACUAGGCGUGGCUUGUAUCGACCCGAGCCGUGCCGGAGCUAACGCGUUAAGUAUCCCGCCUGGGGAGUACGCACGCAAGUGUGAAACUCAAAU
rnacentral:rRNA from 1 species